UACGUAGGGUGCAAGCGUUAAUCGGAAUUACUGGGCGUAAAGCGUGCGCAGGCGGUUAUGUAAGACAGGUGUGAAAUCCCCGGGCUCAACCUGGGAAUUGCAUCUGUGACUGCAUAGCUAGAGUACGGUAGAGGGGGAUGGAAUUCCGCGUGUAGCAGUGAAAUGCGUAGAUAUGCGGAGGAACACCGAUGGCGAAGGCAGUCCCCUGGGCCUGUACUGACGCUCAUGCACGAAAGCGUGGGGAGCAAACAGG
rnacentral:rRNA from 1 species